rnacentral:SRP_RNA from 1 species
GCCGGGCAUGGUGGCGCAUGCCUGUAGUCCCAGCUACUUGGGGGCUGAGGCAGGAGGAUCACUUGAGCCCAGGAGGUGGAGGUUGCAAUGAGCCAAGAUAGUGCCAUUGCACUCCAGCCUGGAUGACAGAGUGAGACCCUUUCUCAA